AGAGUUUGAUCCUGGCUCAGAACGAACGCUGGCGGCAGGCUUAACACAUGCAAGUCGAGCGCCCCGCAAGGGGAGCGGCAGACGGGUGAGUAACGCGUGGGAAUCUACCCUUUUCUACGGAAUAACGCAGGGAAACUUGUGCUAAUACCGUAUGUGUCCUUCGGGAGAAAGAUUUAUCGGGAAAGGAUGAGCCCGCGUUGGAUUAGCUAGUUGGUGGGGUAAAGGCCUACCAAGGCGACGAUCCAUAGCUGGUCUGAGAGGAUGAUCAGCCACAUUGGGACUGAGACACGGCCCAAACUCCUACGGGAGGCAGCAGUGGGGAAUAUUGGACAAUGGGCGCAAGCCUGAUCCAGCCAUGCCGCGUGAGUGAUGAAGGCCCUAGGGUUGUAAAGCUCUUUCACCGGAGAAGAUAAUGACGGUAU
rnacentral:rRNA from 1 species